UAAAAAAUUUGGCGGUAUUUUAGUCUAUUCAGAGGAACCUGUUCUGUAAUUGAUAAUCCACGAUGGACCUUACUUAAAUUUGUAUUCAGUUUAUAUACCGUCGUUAUAAGAAUAUUUUUUAAGAAUGUUAAUUUUCAUAAAUUUAAAAAAGAAAAUAUAUCAGAUCAAGGUGUAGCUUAUGUUUAAGUAGAAAUGGGUUACAAUAAAUUUAUUUAUAUGAAUAUAAACUUGAAAAAUUUUAUUAAAAGUGGAUUUGAUAGUAAAAUUAUAAAGAUUAAUAAUUUGAUUUUAGCUCUAAAAUAUGUACAUAUCGCCCGUCACUCUUAUUAUUAAAAUAAGAUAAGUCGUAACAUAGUAGGUGUACUGGAAAGUGUAUCUAGAAUGCAAUUUAAAGCUUAUUUAGUAAAGUAUUUCAUUUACAUUGAAAAGAUUUUUGUGCAAAUCAAUAUAAAUUGAUUAAAUUUUAUUUAUUUAUGGUUUAAUUUUUUAAAAUAUUUUAUUAAAAAUAAUUAUAAAAUGAUUUUGUUUUAGUAUUUUAUAAAUAAAAAAUAAAUUUAAUUAUAGUUAAUUAGUAUUGUGAAAGAAAAUUGAAAUACUUUGAAAAAUUUUUAUAAAUAAAGAAAUU
rnacentral:rRNA from 1 species